UACGUAGGGUGCGAGCGUUAAUCGGAAUUACUGGGCGUAAAGUGUGCGCAGGCGGCCGCGCAAGUCGAGUGUGAAAGCCCCGAGCUUAACUUGGGAAUUGCGCUCGAAACUACGUGGCUAGGAGUGUGGCAGAGGGGGGUGGAAUUCCACGUGUAGCAGUGAAAUGCGUAGAGAGUCGGCAGGAACACCCAGGGGGAAACCGAGCCGACUGGGCAAGUGCUGACGCUGAGGUGCGAGAGCGUGGGGAGCGAACCGG
rnacentral:rRNA from 1 species